rnacentral:rRNA from 1 species
GAACNCUAGCGNUAGGCCUAUGCCAUGCANGUCGAGGGGCAGCACGAGUACUUGUACUUGGUGGCGACCGGCGCACGGGUGCGUAACGCGUAUGCAAUCUACCUAUCACUGGGGGAUAGCCCGGGGAAACUCGGAUUAAUACCCCAUAGUAUUAUUUGAUGGCAUCUGAAGAUAAUUAAAGAUUUAUUGGUGAUAGAUGAGCAUGCGUCUGAUUAGUUAGUUGGUGAGGUAACGGCUCACCAAGACGAUGAUCAGUAGGGGUUCUGAGAGGAUGAUCCCCCACACUGGAACUGAGACACGGUCCAGACUCCUACGGGAGGCAGCAGUAGGGAAUAUUGGUCAAUGGGCGAGAGCCUGAACCAGCCAUGCCGCGUGCAGGAUGACGGCCUUCUGGGUUGUAAACUGCUUUUAUACAGGAAGAAAAAGGCCCUGCGGGGCAAAUUGCCGGUACUGUAUGAAUAAGCACCGGCUAACUCCGUGCCAGCAGCCGCGGUAAU